rnacentral:rRNA from 1 species
UCAAUAAGCGGAGGAAAAGAAACCAACAGGGAUUGCCCUAGUAACGGCGAGUGAAGCGGCAACAGCUCAAAUUUGAAAUCUGGCGCAAGCCCGAGUUGUAAUUUGUAGAGGAUGCUUCUGGGUAGCGGCCGGUCUAAGUUCCUUGGAACAGGACGUCACAGAGGGUGAGAAUCCCGUAUGUGAUCGGCCCGCGCCCUCUACGUAGCUCCUUCGACGAGUCGAGUUGUUUGGGAAUGCAGCUCUAAAUGGGAGGUAAAUUUCUUCUAAAGCUAAAUACCGGCCAGAGACCGAUAGCGCACAAGUAGAGUGAUCGAAAGAUGAAAAGCACUUUGGAAAGAGAGUUAAACAGCACGUGAAAUUGUUGAAAGGGAAGCGCUUGCAACCAGACUUGACGGCGGUGUUCCCCCGGGCUUCUGCCCGGGUUACUCACCGUCUUCAGGCCAUCAUCGUCUGGGGCCGCCGGAGAAACCGUCAGGAAUGUGGCUCCCUCGGGAGUGUUAUAGCCUGUCGACAUGCGGCGUGCCCCGGGCGAGGUCCGCGCUUAGGCAAGGAUGAUGGCGUAAUGGUUGUCAGCGGCCCGUCUUGAAACACGGACCAAGGAGUCUAACAUCUAUGCGAGUGUUCGGGUGUCAAACCCCUACGCGUAAUGAAAGUGAACGGAGGUGGGAGCUUCGGCGCACCAUCGACCGAUCCUGAUGUCCUCGGAUGGAUUUGAGUAA